rnacentral:rRNA from 1 species
UACAGAGGGUGCAAACGUUGUUCGGAAUUACUGGGCGUAAAGCGUGUGUAGGCGGUUUUGUAAGUCGGGCGUGAAAGCCCCGGGCUCAACCCGGGAAGUGCACUCGAUACUGCGGAACUAGAGUUUCGGAGAGGUUGGUAGAAUUCUUGGUGUAGAGGUGAAAUUCGUAGAUAUCAAGAGGAAUACCGGUGGCGAAGGCGGCCAACUGGACGAAAACUGACGCUGAGACGCGAAAGCGUGGGGAGCAAACAGG